rnacentral:rRNA from 1 species
UACGUAGGGUGCGAGCGUUGUCCGGAAUUAUUGGGCGUAAAGCGCACGUAGGCGGAUUGUUAAGUCAGGGGUGAAAUCCUGGAGCUCAACUCCAGAACUGCCUUUGAUACUGGCGAUCUUGAGUCCGGGAGAGGUGAGUGGAACUGCGAGUGUAGAGGUGAAAUUCGUAGAUAUUCGCAAGAACACCAGUGGCGAAGGCGGCUCACUGGCCCGGUACUGACGCUGAGGUGCGAAAGCGUGGGGAGCAAACAGG